CAUGCAAGUCGAGGGGAAACGACAUCGAAAGCUUGCUUUUGAUGGGCGUCGACCGGCGCACGGGUGAGUAACGCGUAUCCAACCUGCCCACCACUUGGGGAUAACCUUGCGAAAGUAAGACUAAUACCCAAUGACGUCUCUAGAAGACAUCUGAAGGAGAUUAAAGAUUUAUCGGUGAUGGAUGGGGAUGCGUCUGAUUAGCUUGUUGGCGGGGUAACGGCCCACCAAGGCGACGAUCAGUAGGGGUUCUGAGAGGAAGGUCCCCCACAUUGGAACUGAGACACGGUCCAAACUCCUACGGGAGGCAGCAGUGAGGAAUAUUGGUCAAUGGACGAGAGUCUGAACCAGCCAAGUAGCGUGCAGGAUGACGGCCCUAUGGGUUGUAAACUGCUUUUAUAAGGGAAUAAAGUGAGUCUCGUGAGACUUUUUGCAUGUACCUUAUGAAUAAGGACCGGCUAACUCCGUGCCAGCAGCCGCGGUAAUACGGAAGGUCCGGGCGUUAUCCGGAUUUAUUGGGUUUAAAGGGAGCGUAGGCCGGAGAUUAAGCGUGUUGUGAAAUGUAGACGCUCAACGUCUGCACUGCAGCGCGAACUGGUUUCCUUGAGUACGCACAAAGUGGGCGGAAUUCGUGGUGUAGCGGUGAAAUGCUUAGAUAUCACGAAGAACUCCGAUUGCGAAGGCAGCUCACUGGAGCGCAACUGACGCUGAAGCUCGAAAGUGCGGGUAUCGAACAGGAUUAGAUACCCUGGUAGUCCGCACGGUAAACGAUGGAUGCCCGCUGUUGGUCUGAAUAGGUCAGCGGCCAAGCGAAAGCAUUAAGCAUCCCACCUGGGGAGUACGCCGGCAACGGUGAAACUCAAAGGAAUUGACGGGGGCCCGCACAAGCGGAGGGACAUGUGGUU
rnacentral:rRNA from 1 species